UACAGAGGUCUCAAGCGUUGUUCGGAAUCACUGGGCGUAAAGCGCACGUAGGCGGCUUCUUAAGUCAGGGGUGAAAUCCUGGAGCUCAACUCCAGAACUGCCUUUGAUACUGAGGAGCUUGAGUCCGGGAGAGGUGAGUGGAACUGCGAGUGUAGAGGUGAAAUUCGUAGAUAUUCGCAAGAACACCAGUGGCGAAGGCGGCUCACUGGCCCGGUACUGACGCUGAGGUGCGAAAGCGGGGGGAGCAAACAGG
rnacentral:rRNA from 1 species